AACGCGAAGAACCUUACCUGGGUUUGACAUAUGCCGGAAAGCUGCAGAGAUGUAGCCCCCGCAAGGUCGGUAUACAGGUGGUGCAUGGCUGUCGUCAGCUCGUGUCGUGAGAUGUUGGGUUAAGUCCCGCAACGAGCGCAACCCUCGUCCUAUGUUGCCAGCGGAUAAUGCCGGGGACUCAUAGGAGACUGCCGGGGUCAACUCGGAGGAAGGUGGGGAUGACGUCAAGUCAUCAUGCCCCUUAAGUCCAGGGCUUCACGCAUGCUACAAUGGCUGGUACAAAGGGCUGCGAAACCGCAAGGUCGAGCGAAUCCCAAAAAGCCAGUCUUAGUUCGGAUUGGGGUCUGCAACUCGACCCCAUGAAGUCGGAGUCGCUAGUAAUCGCAGAUCAGCAACGCUGCGGUGAAUACGUCCCGGGCCUUGUACACACCG
rnacentral:rRNA from 1 species